UACGUAGGGCGCAAGCGUUGUCCGGAAUUAUUGGGCGUAAAGAGCUCGUAGGCGGCUUGUCACGUCGGGUGUGAAAGCCCGGGGCUUAACCCCGGGUCUGCAUUCGAUACGGGCAGGCUAGAGUGUGGUAGGGGAGAUCGGAAUUCCUGGUGUAGCGGUGAAAUUCGUAGAUAUUGGGAAGAACACCGGUGGCGAAGGCGGCGCUCUGGACCGAGACUGACACUGAGGAGCGAAAGCCAGGGGAGCAAACGGG
rnacentral:rRNA from 1 species